rfam:Lepisosteus oculatus linkage group LG8, whole genome shotgun sequence.
GUCUCCUGCUGUGUUCUAUGGCUUUUUAUUCCUACGUGAUUGUAGUCUGGGUUCAUGUAGGGGUAGAAGCCACGAAACACUCGGUGAGAG